AGGCUUGUCACACUCUCUCGCCACACGUCCCAUUUCUCAGGCUUUUCUAGCCCAGUGACGUGAUAUGUGAUCAAUGCACUACUCUGCCAUGAGCUCCACCAAAUGGCAAUGAGAAGGUCUAUCAGCACAGCCUGCCUCCUCUCAGAGAAGAGAGAGACAGAGAGAGGGAGGGAGAGAUCAGCUGAAUACUUCUAUAAUAUACAUAUAAAGAUGAAAAAAGUGGUAAUCAUGUAAACAAUUUAUUGAUUUAUUUAUUUGCUUCACUUUUGCAAUUCACAUGUGGUUACUGCAGCAAAAUAUUUCAUAAAUCAUUUGUUGCACUUCCUUUUUGUAUUUCCUGGUUCAUAGGUGGAGAGUAAAAAGUGCACAGCAGGACAAAUUCAUCUGACCUGAGAGUCUCCAGGUGACAGUGUGGACUCUUCAGUCCAGCAGACAGCAGCUCCACUCCUGGAUCCUUCAGCUUGUUGUGGCUCAGGUCCAGUUGUGUCAGACGAGAGGACGGAGAGCUGAGGACUGAGGACAGAAGGGAACCACUUCUCUCUGACAGGAAACACCAGCUCAGGCUGUGAAAGAGACGAGUGUCAUCAGCAAGUUGUGGAAGGAGGGCACAAGAGGAAAGGUGGUUCCAUUAAAAAAAGGUGUCCUUUUUGUGGCACAGAAAUGUAUGGUGCUCAAAAAAAAGUAAGAAUUGCCAAAUGCACCAGCCAUCGAAAGAAAAACUCAAAACUAGAAUAAAAAGAGACCUGGCUGCAAAAUUACAAGAAGCACCACAAUGUCGCUUCUUAUCAGCAUGAGGCAAUUAUAUUGGCUGUUCCAGAACGAAAGAGCCUUGACAAUGAAGUGGAUUCUGAAGUGGAAAUGGAGCCAGUGCAGAGACAUUGGAGUGAUGUGCUGCCGUCUGUUGGAGCCAAUUGGAAGCCUGGCUGCUGAGCUGUGAAGCAGCCAGUAUGGAGAGAGAUGCAGUCGUCCAGGCGGGAGAAUAUGAAGGCAUGAAUUCGUUUUUGUAAAGCAAGAGCAUGGGUUACAGUUUAGAUUUAAUUUCUAACUGAAGGAAAUGAACUGAAGUGCUCUUUACUGUGAGGAAAUCGUCAAGAGUCAAAUACGAUGCAGAGACUUCAAGCUGCCAGAGUUAUGUUUUAGACAAGGGA